GAUGAACGCUGGCGGCGUGCCUAAUACAUGCAAGUCGAGCGAACAGACGAGGAUCUUGCUCCUCUGACGUUAGCGGCGGACGGGUGAGUAACACGUGUAUAACCUACCUAUAAGACUGGGAUAACUUCGGGAAACCGGAGCUAAUACCGUAUAAUAUAUUGAACCGCAUGGUUCAAUAGUGAAAGACGGUUUUGCUGUCACUUAUAGAUGGAUCCGCGCCGCAUUAGCUAGUUGGUAAGGUAACGGCUUACCAAGGCAACGAUGCGUAGCCGAACUGAGAGGGUGAUAGGCCACACUGGAACUGAGACACGGUCCAGACUCCUACGGGAGGCAGCAGUAGGGAAUCUUCCGCAAAGGGGGAAAGCCUGACGGAGCAAAGCGGCGUGAGUGAUGAAGGUCUUCGGAUCGUAAAACUCUGUUAUUUGGGAAGAACAAAUGUGUAAGUAACUAUGCACGUAUUGACGGUACCUAAUAAGAAAGCCACGGCUAACUACGUG
rnacentral:rRNA from 1 species